rnacentral:tRNA from 1 species
GUCAGGGUAGUUCAGUUGGUAGAACAGCGGACUCAUAUUCCGUAGGUCGCCGGUUCGAGUCCGGCUUCUGACA